rnacentral:rRNA from 1 species
AGAGUUUGAUCAUGGCUCAGGACGAACGCUGGCGGCGUGCUUAACACAUGCAAGUCGAGCGGAAAGGCCCUUCGGGGUACUCGAGCGGCGAACGGGUGAGUAACACGUGAGUAACCUGCCCUUGGCUUUGGGAUAACCAUCGGAAACGGUGGCUAAUACCGGAUAUUCACUGCUGGUCGCAUGGCUGGUGGUGGAAAGUUUUUUCGGCUGAGGAUGGGCUCGCGGCCUAUCAGCUUGUUGGUGGGGUGAUGGCCUACCAAGGCUUUGACGGGUAGCCGGCCUGAGAGGGCGACCGGCCACACUGGGACUGAGACACGGCCCAGACUCCUACGGGAGGCAGCAGUGGGGAAUAUUGCACAAUGGGCGCAAGCCUGAUGCAGCGACGCCGCGUGAGGGAUGACGGCCUUCGGGUUGUAAACCUCUUUCAGCAGGGACGAAGCGUAAGUGACGGUACCUGCAGAAGAAGCGCCGGCCAACUACGUGCCAGCAGCCGCGGUAAGACGUAGGGCACGAGCGUUGUCCGGAUUUAUUGGGCGUAAAGAGCUCGUAGGCGGCUUGUUGCGUCGUCCGUGAAAACCUGGGGCUCAACUCCAGGCUUGCGGUCGAUACGGGCAGGCUAGAGUUCGGUAGGGGAGACUGGAAUUCCUGGUGUAGCGGUGAAAUGCGCAGAUAUCAGGAGGAACACCGGUGGCGAAGGCGG